GCCCAGGUGGUGAAACUGGUAUACACGCAGGACUUAAAAUCCUGUGCCGUAAGGCAUGCGGGUUCGACCCCCGCUCUGGGCA
rnacentral:tRNA from 1 species